UACGAAGGGGGCUAGCGUUGCUCGGAAUCACUGGGCGUAAAGCGCACGUAGGCGGCUUUUUAAGUCAGGGGUGAAAUCCUGGAGCUCAACUCCAGAACUGCCUUUGAUACUGAGAAGCUUGAGUCCGGGAGAGGUGAGUGGAACUGCGAGUGUAGAGGUGAAAUUCGUAGAUAUUCGCAAGAACACCAGUGGCGAAGGCGGCUCACUGGCCCGGUACUGACGCUGAGGUGCGAAAGCGUGGGAGCGAACAGG
rnacentral:rRNA from 1 species